rnacentral:lncRNA from 1 species
GCCCCGCGGUCCCCCCCGGGGCAUGAACCGCCCCCCGGCGGGCCGAAACCGGCCAAACCGGCAAAACCGCCCCGAUCAUGCCCGUUUUUCGGCGUUCAAACCGCCGCGCGGCUACCCCCCCAUCCCGAUGCCCCCGGACCCCUGGUCCCGUGGGACCUGACGGAAACGGAAUCGGAUGCCCGGAUCAUGAGAUACGCCCAAAACCGUCUAAACCUACUGAGCGCACCCCGAACAUGCCCAUUUUUCGGCGGUCAAACCGCCGCGCGGCUACCCCCCCAUCCCGAUGCCCCCGGAACCCUGGUCCCGCGGGACCCGACGGAAACGGAAUCGGAGGCUCGGAUCAUGAGUUACGGCCCCUUCUUUGCGGCCCCCGAGGACGUGCGCUAUAGCCCCCCGGGCCACCCCCCAUCCGGCCGCACCCGCCCGAACCCCACCGAACGCGUCCGCCGCCUCCCGAUCCCGCCCCGCGGUCCCCCCCGGGGCAUGAACCGCCCGCCGGCGGGCCGAAACCGGCCAAACCGGCAAAACCGCCCCGAUCAUGCCCGUUUUUCGGCGUUCAAACCGCCGCGCGGCUACCCCCCCAUCCCGAUGCCCCCGGACCCCUGGUCCCGUGGGACCUGACGGAAACGGAAUCGGAUGCCCGGAUCAUGAGAUACGCCCAAAACCGUCUAAACCUACUGAGCGCACCCCGAACAUGCCCAUUUUUCGGCGUUCAAACCGCCGCGCGGCUACCCCCCCAUCCCGAUGCCCUCGGAACCCUGGUCCCGCGGGACCCGACGGAAACNNNNNNNNNNNNNNNNNNNNNNNNNNNNNNNNNNNNNNNNNNNNNNNNNNNNNNNNNNNNNNNNNNNNNNNNNNNNNNNNNNNNNNNNNNNNNNNNNNNNCUCGGAUCAUGAGUUACGGCCCCUUCUUUGCGGCCCCCGAGGACGUGCGGCUAUAGCCCCCCGGGCCACCCCCCAUCCGGCCGCACCCGCCCGAACCCCACCGAACGCGUCCGCCGCCUCCCGAUCCCGCCCCGCGGUCCCCCCCGGGGCAUGAACCGCCCCCCGGCGGGCCGAAACCGGCCAAACCGGCAAAACCGCCCCGAUCAUGCCCGUUUUUCGGCGUUCAAACCGCCGCGCGGCUACCCCCCCAUCCCGAUGCCCCCGGACCCCUGGUCCCGUGGGACCUGACGGAAACGGAAUCGGAUGCCCGGAUCAUGAGAUACGCCCAAAACCGUCUAAACCUACUGAGCGCACCCCGAACAUGCCCAUUUUUCGGCGUUCAAACCGCCGCGCGGCUACCCCCCCAUCCCGAUGCCCCCGGAACCCUGGUCCCGCGGGACCCGACGGAAACGGAAUCGGAGGCCCGGAUCAUGAGUUACGGCCCCUUCUUUGCGGCCCCCGAGGACGUGCGCUAUAGCCCCCCGGGCCACCCCCCAUCCGGCCGCACCCGCCCGAACCCCACCGAACGCGUCCGCCGCCUCCCGAUCCCGCCCCGCGGUCCCCCCCGGGGCAUGAACCGCCCCCCGGCGGGCCGAAACCGGCCAAACCGGCAAAACCGCCACGAUCAUGCCCGUUUUUCGGCGUUCAAACCGCCGCGCGGCUACCCCCCCAUCCCGAUGCCCCCGGACCCCUGGUCCCGUGGGACCUGACGGAAACGGAAUCGGAUGCCCGGAGCAUGAGAUACGCCCAAAACCGUCUAAACCUACUGAGCGCACCCCGAACAUGCCCAUUUUUCGGCGUUCAAACCGCCGCGCGGCUACCCCCCCAUCCCGAUGCCCCCGGAACCCUGGUCCCGCGGGACCCGACGGAAACGGAAUCGGAGGCCCGGAUCAUGAGUUACGGCCCCUUCUUUGCGGCCCCCGAGGACGUGCGCUAUAGCCCCCCGGGCCACCCCCCAUCCGGCCGCACCCGCCCGAACCCCACCGAACGCGUCCGCCGCCUCCCGAUCCCGCCCCGCGGUCCCCCCCGGGGCAUGAACCGCCCCCCGGCGGGCCGAAACCGGCCAAACCGGCUAAACCGCCCCGAUCAUGCCCAUUUUUCGGCGUUCAAACCGCCGCACGGCUACCCCCCCAUCCCGAUGCCCCCGGACCCCUGGUCCCGUGGGACCUGACGGAAACGGAAUCGGAUGCCCGGAUCAUGAGAUACGCCCAAAACCGUCUAAACCUAUUUUUCGGCGUUCAAACCGCCCCGCGGCUACCCCCCCAUCCCGAGGCCCCCGGAACCCUGGUCCCGCGGGACCCGACGGAAACGGAAUCGGAGGCCCGGAUCAUGAGUUACGGCCCCUUCUUUGCGGCCCCCGAGGACGUGCGCUAUAGCCCCCCGGGCCACCCCCCAUCCGGCCGCACCCGCCCGAACCCCACCGAACGCGUCCGCCGCCUCCCGAUCCCGCCCCGCGGUCCCCCCCGGGGCAUGAACCGCCCCCCGGCGGGCCGAAACCGGCCAAACCGGCAAAACCGCCCCGAUCAUGCCCGUUUUUCGGCGUUCAAACCGCCGCGCGGCUACCCCCUCAUCCCGAUGCCCCCGGACCCCUGGUCCCGUGGGACCUGACGGAAACGGAAUCGGAUGCCCGGAUCAUGAGAUACGCCCAAAACCGUCUAAACCUACUGAGCGCACCCCGAACAUGCCCAUUUUUCGACGUUCAAACCGCCGCGCGGCUACCCCCCCAUCCCGAUGCCCCCGGAACCCUGGUCCCGCGGGACCCGACGGAAACGGAAUCGGAGGCCCGGAUCAUGAGUUACGGCCCCUUCUUUGCGGCCCCCGAGGACGUGCGCUAUAGCCCCCCGGGCCACCCCCCAUCCGGCCGCACCCGCCCGAACCCCACCGAACGCGUCCGCCGCCUCCCGAUCCCGCCCCGCGGUCCCCCCCGGGGCAUGAACCGCCCCCCGGCGGGCCGAAACCGGCAAAACCGGCUAAACCGCCCCGAUCAUGCCCAUUUUUCGGCGUUCAAACCGCCGCACGGCUACCCCCCCAUCCCGAUGCCCCCGGACCCCUGGUCCCGUGGGACCUGACGGAAACGGAAUCGGAUGCUCGGAUCAUGAGAUACGCCCAAAACCGUCUAAACCUACUGAGCGCACCCCGAACAUGCCCAUUUUUCGGCGUUCAAACCGCCGCGCGGCUACCCCCCCAUCCCGAUGCCCCCGGAACCCUGGUCCCGCGGGACCCGACGGAAACGGAAUCGGAGGCCCGGAUCAUGAGUUACGGCCCCUUCUUUGCGGCCCCCGAGGACGUGCGCUAUAGCCCCCCGGGCCACCCCCCAUCCGGCCGCACCCGCCCGAACCCCACCGAACGCGUCCGCCGCCUCCCGAUCCCGCCCCGCGGUCCCCCCCGGGGCAUGAACCGCCCCCCGGCGGGCCGAAACCGGCCAAACCGGCUAAACCGCCCCGAUCAUGCCCAUUUUUCGGCGUUCAAACCGCCGCACGGCUACCCCCCCAUCCCGAUGCCCCCGGACCCCUGGUCCCGUGGGACCUGACGGAAACGGAAUCGGAUGCUCGGAUCAUGAGAUACGCCCAAAACCGUCUAAACCUACUGAGCGCACCCCGAACAUACCCAUUUUUCGGCGUUCAAACCGCCGCGCGGCUACCCCCCCAUCCCGAUGCCCCCGGAACCCUGGUCCCGCGGGACCCGACGGAAACGGAAUCGGAGGCCCGGAUCAUGAGUUACGGCCCCUUCUUUGCGGCCCCCGAGGACGUGCGCUAUUGCCCCCCGGGCCACCCCCCAUCCGGCCGCACCCGCCCGAACCCCACCGAACGCGUCCGCCGCCUCCCGAUCCCGCCCCGCGGUCUCCCCCGGGGCGUGAACCGCCCCCCGGCGGGCCGAAACCGGCCAAACCGGCUAAACCGCCCCGAUCAUGCCCAUUUAUCGGCGUUCAAACCGCCGCACGGCUACCCCCUCAUCCCGAUGACCCCGGACCCCUGGUCCCGUGGGACCUGACGGAAACGGAAUCGGAUGCUCGGAUCAUGAGAUACGCCCAAAACCGUCUAAACCUACUGAGCGCACCCCGAACAUGCCCAUUUUUCGGCGUUCAAACCGCCGCGCGGCUACCCCCCCAUCCCGAUGCCCCCGGAACCCUGGUCCCGCGGGACCCGACGGAAACGGAAUCGGAGGCCCGGAUCAUGAGUUACGGCCCGUUCUUUGCGGCCCCCGAGGACGUGCGN